CAGUUUGGAUCUGUUGCUAAGCACAGUCCUGUAAUCCCCCAAAGAGGUUUUAUUAGUACCAGGGAAUUUUGACUUAAACCUUAAGAUGUAUAUUCAUCGCAGCAAAACUCUAGUUGUUAAAAUCUUAGCUGUAGGAAACUACAUUUAUUUAAAGCUUUAAGUUUAAGUUUAAGUUGACUUGGAAGGUUGACUUUGCGAGGUGUACUCAUAUUGGCUCAGUUAGAAUCAGCAUAAAAAAAAAAAAAACAACCCAAGCCAAGCAUAACCCUUUAGAAUCAUGAACACAAUUAUAGCCACGCCUCCAGAGGGAAACAAUGCACAUUCAAGUUUCUUCCAACUUAUGAUGAUUCUGGCUAACACCUCAUUUAGCUUUCCCUUUAUUUUCCUCAUGAAGUUUCCUUCUCUGAUCCUCUUCGUCUCUGCCUUGAUUUGGGGAGCCCCACCACUGCUUCACUGUGUAACCCACCUUAGUUUCUCAGCUUCUCCUUCCUCAGUGCCAGCUACCCACUAUGGAAAACGACGAGGACGACGACGACGACCGCAACAACAAGAACAACAAGAACAACAGCAGGAAUCGGACAAACUCCUGUGAUCAAAAUCUAAACUGUUGCAUCGAACUCAUCGAACAAGUGGCGAAGGUGCAGGCACAGCUCUUUGCAAUCCUCACAGCGACAGCCCAAGAAGGGGGACAUAAUGAGGGUGUUGAGACAAUCAAGAGUCGCCUUUUGCCCUUGCUGCAGACUUCCUUCAGCUCUCUAGGCGUGGGAAAA
rnacentral:lncRNA from 1 species